UUUUGCCCUAUGCAGACACUGACGUGGUACUUCCAAGUGCAAGAAAUGUUUAUUUUUUGCAGUUGUACAUGAAAGAUUUUAUACUUUCAAAUCAAAUUACUUAAAUUCGAUACAUGUCUUUUUAAAACAGUGGUUACUAUAUAACCUGAAAAAUCACUGUGUAAGUGUGGACUUAAUUACUUUUUCUAAAAAUUUGAUCACUCUUACACUAAAACAUUGCCAGGGAAGAUUAUUUUAAUUCUUCCUUCAAUAUUAACAAUUCUAUUUUCAAAGAAUACUAUACAAAUAAUAGGGAAAUGGCUGCUUGAUUUCUUAAAACCUGGACUUUCAUCUAGCCAUUCUAUAAUGCUGUCCCUCAGUUCCUUUCCUACUGGAAACUGGUCCAGUCAUAGAAGAUGAAUCCAUAAAGACUACUCACCUUCUAUCCUUCCUCAUUGUUCAUUUCAUUUAUCUAUCAAGACAUGAAGUGCUACAUUUGGUGCUCUCACUGGUAUGUCCAUAAUGAAAGGCAUAGCCUAUAAUUCAGGAAAUAUAUAAUCUCAACUUCACUGGGGAAUGGACCGCAUGUUAAUCACCAACUAUGUGCUAUGCAUUUCACUCACAUCAUACUUUGUCUAUAAUAUCAUGUGUCAGGUGUUACCCCAAUUUAACAUAUGAGGAAACUGCUUUCAGAGAGAUUAAGUAAAUACUAUUUAGGUCACUGAGCUAUCAGAGGUGGGGCUAUAACAGGAGGACCUCUGCCUAUCAAAUCCCAAAUCUUAUGCACUUCUAGAAUAACAUAUUGUCUACCAGACACUUAAAGCAGCUAAUUGGCAUUACAGAGGGAUCUAUAAUUGGGGAGGAAUUAUAAUAAGAAUCAAACAAAAUAGCCCAGAUCUAGAGCUAAUCUCAGCUGUAAAUGAGCUAGCUAGCUCUGUGACCUGGCUAUAAUCCUUUAAACUGUCUGAGCUUAAAUCCCCUCAUCAGUAAAAUGUGCUCUUGCCCCAUGCAAAUGGUUUUGUUUACCUGACUAAUACGAUUAUAUUGCACACAUAGGAAAUGUGUGUAAAAUUGGAAUAUUGUACAAGAUUAUACACUUCAGUACAUACGAAAUUUUAAUGAAAAGUCUACUAAUUGAAUGCAUAUUGAUUAAAAUAGCUUCGUUGUUAAUGUGCUGAAACAACAUUCCUCUUUGGUUUUUUCCUCCUAUCAUAGCCUAGCACCCAAUAUAGAAAUGAUAGAAUAUGUUGAAAUGUUGUGGAUAAUGUGUUUUAAACAAUUUCAGUUCUUUGUACUAUGACUAUAAUGGAGCCUUUAACAGAAACCUAUUAACAUAACUAUCUGGUUAAAACUAACUAAAUCUUAUAAAUGGCAUCAAUUUUUCUUUGAAGCUGCUCUGUCUGACCUACUACUUCUAGAAAUUGUGCUUCCUCUGUUAGUUGUGUUUCUCGAUAGCAACAAAAAUGACAAAAUCACCUUAAGACACCAAAGCCAUAAUUCUGUCACCACACAAUCUUCAUAGAAAUGGGAAAAGACCUGGGAAGGAUUUUGGAUCCCAGGUAGCUUAUUUAUUCCUGAUGAAUACCUUUGAGAUUAAAACAAAAUAGAAAUGAAAGUAACUGGGA
rnacentral:lncRNA from 10 species